rnacentral:misc_RNA from 1 species
AACCUAGCACACCUGCGGUGUGUACCUGCGGAGGGAUCAUUACCUAGAGUUGUAGGCUUUGCCUGCUAUCUCUUACCCAUGUCUUUUGAGUACCUUACGUUUCCUCGGUGGGCUCGCCCACCGAUUGGACAAAUUUAAACCCUUUGCAGUUGAAAUCAGCGUCUGAAAAAACUUAAUAGUUACAACUUUUAACAACGGAUCU